rnacentral:rRNA from 1 species
CAAUAGCGUAUAUUUAAGUUGUUGCAGUUAAAAAGCUCGUAGUCGGAUUUUGGCUGAGAACGAUCGGUCCGCCGUUAGGUGUGCACUGUUUGGUCUCAGCUUCCUGGUGAGGAGGUGUGCUUCACGGCCACUUAGUCACCGUGGUUACUUUGAAAAAAUUAGAGUGUUCAAAGCGGGCUUACGCUUGAAUAUAUUAGCAUGGAAUAACACCAUAGGACUCCUGUCCUAUUUCGUUGGUCUCGGGACGGGAGUAAUGAUUAAGAGGAACAGUUGGGGGCAUUCGUAUUUCAUUGUCAGAGGUGAAAUUCUUGGAUUUAUGAAAGACGAACUUCUGCGAAAGCAUUUGCCAAGGAUGUUUUCAUUGA